rnacentral:rRNA from 1 species
AUCAUGGCUCAGGAUGAACGCUAGCGGCAGGCUUAACACAUGCAAGUCGAGGGGCAGCGGGUAUGUUAGCAAUAACAUAUGCCGGCGACCGGCGCAAGGGUGCGUAACGCGUGAGUAACAUGCCCGUAUCAGGAGGAUAACCCGGAGAAAUCCGGACUAAUACUGCAUAAUAUUUUCAGAUGGCAUCGUUUGGGAAUUAAAGUUUCGACGGAUACGGAUUGGCUCGCGUGACAUUAGAUAGUUGGCGGGGUAACGGCCACCAAGUCCACGAUGUCUAGGGGUUCUGAGAGGAAGGUCCCCCACACUGGAACUGAGACACGGUCCAAACUCCUACGGGAGGCAGCAGUGAGGAAUAUUGGUCAAUGGGCGAAAGCCUGAACCAGCCAAGUCGCGUGAAGGAUGAAGGUUCUAUGGAUUGUAAACUUCUUUUGUCUGAGGGUAAAAAGCGGACGUGUCCGUUCUUGCAAGUAUCAGACGAAUAAGCAUCGGCUAACUCCGUG